rnacentral:rRNA from 1 species
UACGGAGGGGGGCUAGCGUUGUUCGGAAUUACUGGGCGUAAAGCGCGCGUAGGCGGACCUGCAAGUCGGGGGUGAAAGCCCGAGGCUCAACCUCGGAACUGCCUUCGAUACUGCGGGUCUCGAGUCCGGGAGAGGUGAGUGGAAUUCCUAGUGUAGAGGUGAAAUUCGUAGAUAUUAGGAAGAACACCAGUGGCGAAGGGCGGCUCACUGGUCCGGUUCUGACGCUGAGGCACGAAAGCGUGGGGAGCAAACAGG